rnacentral:rRNA from 1 species
UAGGGAAUCUUCGGCAAUGGGGGGAACCCUGACCGAGCAACGCCGCGUGAGUGAAGAAGGUUUUCGGAUCGUAAAGCUCUGUUGUUAAGGAAGAACGAGUGUGAGAAUGGAAAGUUCAUGCUGUGACGGUACUUAACCAGAAAGGGACGGCUAACUACGUGCCAGCAGCCGCGGUAAUACGUAGGUCCCGAGCGUUGUCCGGAUUUAUUGGGCGUAAAGCGAGCGCAGGCGGUUAGAAAAGUCUGAAGUGAAAGGCAGUGGCUCAACCAUUGUAGGCUUUGGAAACUGUUUAACUUGAGUGCAGAAGGGGAGAGUGGAAUUCCAUGUGUAGCGGUGAAAUGCGUAGAUAUAUGGAGGAACACCGGUGGCGAAAGCGGCUCUCUGGUCUGUAACUGACGCUGAGGCUCGAAAGCGUGGGGAGCGAACAGGAUUAGAUACCCUGGUAGUCCACGCCGUAACGAUGAGUGCUAGGUGUUAGGUCCUUUCCGGGACUUAGUGCCGCAGCUAACGCAUUAAGCACUCCGCCUGGGGAGUACGACCGCAAGGUU